rnacentral:miRNA from 1 species
AUGGAGAAAUCAAUUACUUCAGA